UACGAAGGGUGCAAGCGUUGUCCGGAAUUAUUGGGCGUAAAGAGCUCGUAGGCGGUCUGUCGCGUCGGCUGUGAAAACCCGGAGCUCAACUCCGGGCCUGCAGUCGAUACGGGCAGACUGGAGUUCGGCAGGGGAGACUGGAAUUCCUGGUGUAGCGGUGAAAUGCGCAGAUAUCAGGAGGAACACCGGUGGCGAAGGCGGGUCUCUGGGCCGAUACUGACGCUGAGGAGCGAAAGCGUGGGGAGCGAACAGG
rnacentral:rRNA from 1 species